AAGAAGAGGCAGGAGAGAGUCAAAGUGUAAAGGGACUUGAUCCACCAUUGCUGGCUUUGAAGAUGGAAGAAGGGGGCUGUGAGCCAAGGGAUGCAGGCAGCUUCUAGAAGCUUGCAACAGCCCUCAGCUGAAGCCAGUGAGGAAAUGGGGCCCUACAACCACCGGGAACGGAAUUCUGCCUUCAGCCUCAAUGGGCUUCAAGCACACUCUUCCCCAGAGCUUCUGGAAAGGAACCCAUCCCUGCCAACACUUUGAUUUUAGCCUGGUGAGACCUGUGCCACACUCCUGACCUACAAAACUCUACUCAGGAAGUAACCUUGGAAGCAAAGCUAAUUCCAUUCUAAUCUGUGCUCUUGAAAUGUGAAGAUCAUAAGAAAUGAGUGAUUGAGAAGAUUCUGGAGAGCCUUGCUUGUUCCAGAUGGCUUCUGCUCCAAAAGAAGAAGCUUUUCAAGUGUCCCACGCAGUCCUGAACCCUUUGGGGCCUUCUCCUUUCACUGUGCCUCAAGCCCAAUAGAAGAAAAUCUCAUCCCAGCAGGGAAGGGAGGGUGAGGCGGAUGUGGGGGGUGUUUCAAGCAAGGUGAUUUUCUGGGUGAAAGUACUAUGUUCUUCCCAGCACUUAGCACAAAGCCUGCCACCCAGGUCAUGUGGGCGGAGAGACUUGUACUGCACCGAACAUCCUCACCUGUCAGCAGAGUAUCUGAUAGGGGUAGCAUUUACAGCACGUGCACUAAAAAUGCUAUUGUACCUUAUGCUUUACUUUAAUUACUCAAACCGGUGUUGUUUCCAGUGUUUUUUUCUCUCUCCUAAUGAACCUUCAACUGCUUGUACCUCCUUUCUCCCCCAUGGAAAAGUUGCAUAAUGAUGGCUUGUUUACAAACCUG
rnacentral:lncRNA from 1 species